AGAGUUUGAUCCUGGCUCAGGACGAACGCUGGCGGCGUGCUUAACACAUGCAAGUCGAACGGAAAGGCCCUUCGGGGUACUCGAGUGGCGAACGGGUGAGUAACACGUGGGUGAUCUGCCCUGCACUCUGGGAUAAGCCUGGGAAACUGGGUCUAAUACCGGAUAGGACCGCAUGCUUCAUGGUGUGUGGUGCAAAGCUUUUGCGGUGUGGGAUGAGCCCGCGGCCUAUCAGCUUGUUGGUGGGGUAAUGGCCUACCAAGGCGACGACGGGUAGCCGGCCUGAGAGGGUGACCGGCCACACUGGGACUGAGAUACGGCCCAGACUCCUACGGGAGGCAGCAGUGGGGAAUAUCGCACAAUGGGCGCAAGCCUGAUGCAGCGACGCCGCGUGAGGGAUGACGGCCUUCGGGUUGUAAACCUCUUUCAGUAGGGACGAAGCGAAAGUGACGGUACCUACAGAAGAAGGACCGGCCAACUACGUGCCAGCAGCCGCGGUAAUACGUAGGGUCCGAGCGUUGUCCGGAAUUACUGGGCGUAAAGAGCUCGUAGGUGGUUCGUCGCGUUGUUCGUGAAAACUCACAGCUUAACUGUGGGCGUGCGGGCGAUACGGGCAGACUAGAGUACUGCAGGGGAGACUGGAAUUCCUGGUGUAGCGGUGGAAUGCGCAGAUAUCAGGAGGAACACCGGUGGCGAAGGCGGGUCUCUGGGCAGUAACUGACGCUGAGGAGCGAAAGCGUGGGUAGCGAACAGGAUUAGAUACCCCGGUAGUCCAA
rnacentral:rRNA from 1 species